rnacentral:rRNA from 1 species
CAGCAGCCGCGGUAAUACCGGCGGCCCGAGUGGCGGUCACUAUUUAUGGGCUUAAAGCGUCCGUAGCCGGGUUGGGAAGGCCUCCGGGAAAUCUGGCCGCUUAAAGGUCAGAAUGCCGGAGGAUACUCCCAGCCUAGGGAGCGGGAGAGGCCGAGGGGAUUCCCGGAGUAGGGGUGAAAUCCUAUAAUCCCGGGAGGACCACCUGUGGCGAAGGCGCUCGGCUGGAACGCGUCCGACGGUGAGGGACGAAGGCCAGGGGAGCAAACCGGAUUAGAUACCCGGGUAGUCCUGGCUGUAAACGAUGCGGACUUUUUGUCGGACAAGCUAUGAGCUUGUCCGGUGCCGGAGGGAAACCGUUAAGUCCGCCGCCUGGGGAGUCCGGCCGCAAGGCUGAAACUUAAAGGAAUUGGCGGG